UGAAGCUUAUCCUGGCUACAGACUGAAAUCCUGUCUAGACAAGUCCUGUCUCACACCAACUGCCGCCAGCAAUAGCCUUGGCCGGAGCCAUUAUUUUUUUGGGUUGUCCAUCUGUCUGGUGAAAAUCGGCAGUGACAGGGAAAAUGCAGAGUCAUUCAGUCAAAUGCCAACCCAGCUUGGCGGGACAAGUUACAAUUUGAGGAUGUCAACAGCAAUUUCAUAAAUUACAGAGGUCUGGGACGAUGAUGAAACCGGUGCUGAUGACCUUUUGUGUGACUGCAUCAAGCCAAUGGUCCCAUGAGGUCAUCGUCACAAAAUAAGGCACGAUACAGGACGGGAGGAGCAUCACUGGAGGAUGGGGGGGGGGGGGCUCAACGAAGCAGAGAGGGAGAAUGCAGAAAGGG